rnacentral:rRNA from 1 species
UGCCAGCCGCCGCGGUAACACGGGGGGCGCAAGCGUUGUUCGGAAUUAUUGGGCGUAAAGGGCGCGCAGGCGGUCUUGUCCGUCAGGUGUGAAAGCUCGGGGCUCAACCCCGGAAGUGCACUUGAAACAGCAAGACUUGAAUACGGUAGAGGAGCGCGGAAUUCCGGGUGUAGCGGUGAAAUGCACAGAUAUCCGGAGGAACACCGAUGGCGAAGGCAGCGCUCUGGGCCGAUACUGACGCUGAGGAGCGAAAGUAUGGGGAUCAAACAGGAUUAGAUA